AAUCAACGCUGGCGGCGUGCCUCAGACAUGCAAGUCGAACGCGAAAGUCCCCUUCGGGGGACAAGUAGAGUGGCGCACGGGUGAGUAACACGUAGGUAAUCUACCUUCGGAUGGGGAAUAACAACCGGAAACGGUUGCUAAUACCGCAUAAUGCAGCGGCACCUAAUGGUGACAGUUGUUAAAGCGGGGGAUUGAAAGACCUCGCGUCUGAAGAGGAGCCUGCGGCGGAUUAGCUUGUUGGAGGGUAACGGCCUACCAAGGCGACGAUCCGUAGCCGGCCUGAGAGGGCGGUCGGCCACACUGACACUGACAUACGGGUCAGACUCCUACGGGAGGCAGCAGUCGGGAAUUUUGGGCAAUGGGCGAAAGCCUGACCCAGCAACGCCGCGUGAAGGAUGAAAUCCCUCCGGGAUGUAAACUCGCAAGAACGGGAAGAAUAAGUAGGGACAACACCCCCUAUGAUGACGGUACCGUUUGUAAGCUCCGGCUAACUCCGUGCCAGCAGCCGCCGUAA
rnacentral:rRNA from 1 species